UACGAGAGGCCCAAACGUUAUUCGGAAUUACUGGGCUUAAAGAGUUCGUAGGCGGCGCAGAAAGUAGGGUGUGAAAGCCCUCGGCUUAACCGAGGAAUUGCGCUCUAAACUACUGUGCUCGAGGAACCUAGAGGUGAGCAGAACUGAUGGUGGAGCGGUGAAAUGCGGUUGAUAUCAUCAGGAAUACCGGAGGCGAAGGGCGGCUCACUGGGGGUU
rnacentral:rRNA from 1 species